rnacentral:rRNA from 1 species
UACGGGGGGGCAAGCGUUGUUCGGAAUUAUUGGGCGUAAAGGGCUCGUAGGCGGUUUGUCGCGUCGGGAGUGAAAACUCAGGGCUUAACCCUGAGCCUGCUUCCGAUACGGGCAGACUAGAGGUAUGCAGGGGAGAACGGAAUUCCUGGUGUAGCGGUGAAAUGCGCAGAUAUCGGGAGGAACACCGGUGGCGAAGGCGGUUCUCUGGGCCUGUACUGACGCUGAGGAGCGAAAGCGUGGGGAGCGAACAGG